ACAGUAAAUACAGGUAGUUACAGGUAUGGUAUUACAACUAGACAGUAGUUACAGGUAUGGUAUUACAACUAGACAGUAAAUACAGGUAGUUACAGGUAUGGUAUUACAACUAGACAGUAGUUACAGGUAUGGUAUUACAACUAGACAGUAAAUACAGGUAGUUACAGGUAUGGU